GACGAACGCUGGCGGCGUGCCUAACACAUGCAAGUCGAGCGGAGUCAGUAAGAGGAAGUUUUCGGAUGGAAUCUUGUUGAUUUAGCGGCGGACGGGUGAGUAACGCGUGAGCGACCAACCUUGCACAGGGGGAUAACGGACCGAAAGGUUCACUAAUACCGCAUGAGACCACGGUGUUGCAUGACACAGGGGUCAAAGGAGCAAUCCGGUGCAAGACGGGCUCGCGUCCGAUUAGGUAGUUGGAGGGGUAACGGCCCACCAAGCCUAUGAUCGGUAGCCGACCUGAGAGGGUGAUCGGCCACAUUGGAACUGAGAUACGGUCCAAACUCCUACGGGAGGCAGCAGUGGGGAAUAUUGGGCAAUGGGGGAAACCCUGACCCAGCAACGCCGCGUGAAGGAAGAAGGUUUUCGGAUUGUAAACUUCUGUCCUUGGUGAAGAGAAGAAGACGGUAGCCAAGGAGGAAGCCCCGGCUAACUACGUG
rnacentral:rRNA from 1 species